GCCGAUUUCUAGAUCCACGAGGAAGUCGGUAGAGCGUGAGACUCUUAACCUCAAGGUCGUGGCUUUGAGCCCCACGCUGGGCA